ensembl:misc_RNA Metazoa_SRP Metazoan signal recognition particle RNA
GCUGGGCGUGGUGGUGUACGCCUGUAAUCCCAGCUACUUGGGAGGCUGAGGCAGGAGAAUUGCUUGAACCCAGGAGGUGGAGAUUGCAGUGAGCAAAGAUCACGCCACGGCAUUCCAACCUGGGCAACACAGCAAGACUCUGUCUCAA